rnacentral:rRNA from 1 species
UACGUAGGGUGCAAGCGUUUAAUCGGAAUUACUGGGCGUAAAGCGUGCGCAGGCGGUUUUUGUAAGUCUGUCGUGAAAGCCCCGGGCUCAACCUGGGAAUUGCGAUGGAGACUGCAAGGCUUGAAUCUGGCAGAGGGGGGUAGAAUUCCACGUGUAGCAGUGAAAUGCGUAGAGAUGUGGAGGAACACCGAUGGCGAAGGCAGCCCCCCUGGGUCAAGAUUGACGCUCAUGCACGAAAGCGUGGGGAGCAAACAGG